rnacentral:lncRNA from 1 species
AGUGAGUUCAGACAGUCUAUUGAUCUGUAGUGGUGAGUUCAGACAGACAGUCUAUUGAUCUUGGUGAGUUCAGUCAGACAGUCUAUUGAUCUGUAGUAGUGCGUUCAGACUGUCUAUUGAUCUGUAGCAGUGAGUUCAGACAGACAGUCUAUUGAUCUGUAGUAGUGAGUUCAGACAGUCUAUUGAUCUGUAGUAGUGAGUUCAGACUGACAGUCUAUUGAUCUGUAGCAGUGAGUUCAGACAGACAGUCUAUUGAUCUGUAGUAGUGAGUUCUGAUAGUCUAUUGAUCUGUAGUAGUGAGUUCAGACAGACAGUCUAUUGAUCUGUAGCAGUGAGUUCAGACAGUCUAUUGAUCUGUAGCGGUGAGUUCAGACAGUCUAUUGAUCUGUAGUAGUGAGUUCAGACAGUCUAUUGAUCUGUAGCAGUGAGUUCAGUCAGACAGUCUAUUGAUCUGUAGUAGUGAGUUCAGACAGUCUAUUGAUCUAUAGUAGUGAGUUCAGACAGACAGUCUAUUGAUCUGUAGUAGUGAGUUCAGUCAGACAGUCUAUUGAUCUGUAGUAGUGAGUUCAUUCAGACAGUCUAUUGAUCUGUAGUAGUGAGUUCAGUCAGACAGUCUAUUGAUCUGUAGUAGUGAGUUCAGUCAGACAGUCUAUUGAUCUGUAGUAGUGAGUUCAGACAGUCUAUUGAUCUCUAGUAGUGAGUUCAGACAGUCUAUUGAUCUGUAGCAGUGAGUUCAGUCAGACAGUCUAUUGGUCUGUAGUAGUGAGUUCAGUCAGACAGUCUAUUGAUCUCUUGUAGUGAGUUCAGACAGUCUAACCGGCUGUUUGUCACCUGAUCAAUCAUUUUCACUGAUUUGGAGCACCUGUGAAGGCAUGGAGGGCGUCAGUCAUUCAGAAGAACAAACUUCAGAGGGAAAACUCCAAGUUCACUCACAGGUUCAGUCCAAAGACGCCAAUGGUAAAAGGCUUAAAU